GAGACUUGAGUGCAGGAGAGGAGAGUAGAAUUCCUAGUGUAGCGGUGAAAUGCGUAGAUAUUAGGAGGAAUACCAGUUGCGAAAGCGGCUCUCUGGACUGUAACUGACACUGAGGCACGAAAGCGUGGGGAGCAAACAGGAUUAGAUACCCUGGUAGUCCACGCCGUAAACGAUGAGUACUAGCUGUCGGGCCUACGGGA
rnacentral:rRNA from 1 species